AUGUGCCGCUCGUGCACUCCGAUUCAGAGUGCCCCAUCCAUAUCAAUUGACGACUGCUCGCUACGUUCUGUCAGCC
rnacentral:sRNA from 2 species